GACGAACGCUGGCGGCGUGCCUAAUACAUGCAAGUCGAGCGCAGGAAACUGACGGAACUCUUCGGAGGGAAGGCAGCGGAAUGAGCGGCGGACGGGUGAGUAACACGUAAGGAACCUGCCUCAAGGAUUGGGAUAACUCCGAGAAAUCGGAGCUAAUACCGAAUAGUUCAACGGACCGCAUGGUCCGCUGAUGAAAGGCGCUCCGGCGUCACCUUGAGAUGGCCUUGCGGUGCAUUAGCUAGUUGGUGGGGUAACGGCCCACCAAGGCGACGAUGCAUAGCCGACCUGAGAGGGUGAUCGGCCACACUGGGACUGAGACACGGCCCAGACUCCUACGGGAGGCAGCAGUAGGGAAUCUUCCACAAUGGACGAAAGUCUGAUGGAGCAACGCCGCGUGAGUGAUGAAGGUUUUCGGAUCGUAAAACUCUGUUGUAAGGGAAGAACACGUACGAGAGGAAAUGCUCGUACCUUGACGGUACCUUACGAGAAAGCCACGGCUAACUACGUGCCAGCAGCCGCCGUAACAC
rnacentral:rRNA from 1 species